UUGUAAUGGAAGCGUCCUUUGCCAUGAUGUUCCCUGACCAAUCUACUCGCUUUCGGAAGCGGCCCUCCGAAAUGGGUCUGUAGCACAACCCAAAGCCUACGGGUCUUGAACUGAGAUGCAGCCUCCUUCGAUCCCCAGGAACCAGCCUGCCUUAUCAGCAAUCCGCGCGCUUCCUGCUGGCUGCCGUAAAGCCCCCGAGAAGCUGGACAGAGACCGCAGACUCCCACCAGGACAGCCGUCUUCCCCAUCUUGUCAUCCAAUUUAAGUGAGCCUGGCCAAAUUUUGGGAUUCCCCAUUACUUGAAACCGCACGUUUAGUCAGAAGUUCCCGGACGAGCUGCUCUGUCCCUCACGUACUGGAAGAAGAACCUUUCAAGACCGUUUCCAAACAGCUGCUGCAGCUACAUCCGAAUGUGGUUUUCCCCUCCACGGAAACGUCGACGCUGUGUCAAAACCACUUGUCCGGAUCUGAAGUUGAGCGUUUUGAGAACAUUCCCUACGUGACUGGUACUAUAGAAGUAAAGCAGCUGCCAGCACAACUGGUAAAAAUGCCAACAGGCCACUUCCUUCUCGAAAGGCAGGAGCACUGCGAAAAUGGAGAAUUGAGUUGCACUGCAAAUACUGGUUCCAUUCCCAGCCACCGCAGGGUCACUCCGCUCUCCAAGGCGUGGAGAAGAUGCGUUCCGGAUCGCGGCAGCCUAACGUUCGGCGUGUUGUCUUCCGUACGAAAAUCUCUGCGCGUGCAGCCAGGCUUCAGACUUGGCCGACCUGAAUGUUUGGACAAGCUAAUACUUGCGAAGUUGCGUAAUGGCGAGGCCCGUUGUGCAGAACUUCAAAGUGGCUGUUUUAAAGGGAUAAGGCUUUAAAAAGAAGAGAUUCGUCAUACCGGUGUAGGGUUCAUCGAUACGGCGUCCGAUUUUGGUGGUGGCGACCCGGUGCCUAACCCGGCAACACGGGGCGUAGGGCUGGAGGGGACACACCCAGGAUGAGACGCCAGUC